GUUCUAGGUUCAUUUCUUCUGUAGUUUCGGUUUCCUUCAUCUUGAGUAGUCAAUUGAUGCCAUCAUGUACUGAUUUUGGAGAAUCUCAGUUGGUCACAUUUAAUAGUUUUGACAUGUAAAAUCAUUCUGAUUUUCUUCUCAUACCUAAAAUGCUGGUCUAUUUGACGAUUCUGUUUAUAUGCUUUAUUAUUUGCUGUAUGUUCUUAGAAGAGGCAUAAUUUUUCUAUGAUAUCUUGUGUUUAACAAUUUGUAACAUCUUCCCACCUUAGCAUGUAUGUAUGCUACACAUAUAGGAGAGUUAUACAUUGUUCUUUGGGAAACAGAAGGUUCAUUCUGGAAUUCUAUUUUUUUUUGACAUUGACUAAACAUUUUGUUAUAAUAUAUUGAUUCCCAAACUAGACAAGAAAUGUCAGAAAUUAGGAAUUUCUUAAUAAAUUGAAAAAUAUUAUCUUAGAUGCUCUUAUAUUCCUGAUGGUUUCUGUGUAAAAGUACCCUUAAAACCUUACACAGCUCUCAUGAGGUUGUUUUUAUGGGUAGUUUUGGUAAACCUGUCCCCCCUGUUUCCCAAAAUUAAGAAAGAGAACUUUGGCAAAUACUGUCCUCCCUCUCACAUUUCCUUGUUCCUCCCAUUGAUUUCAAUAUAUAUAAUAAUGGAUCUGAAUACAAUUCAAAAGUUGAUAACGAAUUAAAGUGGACAAAUUCAAAUUCAAAUUGCCCAAAUAUUUAUGGGAGAGAGGAGACUGAUAGGAUUUUAUUUGGAAAAUAUAGAAUAGAAGAGAAAACGAUUACACUAAAAGAAGGAUAACAGAUGCCUGUGGGAGGUUGUGACUCUCAAACUAACUCCUCUCUCUAAGAAAUUGCCUGCCUUCCCUGUUCCCUCUACUUUAUUUAUUAACUUCUUGUAACUAACUACCCAAUUCAAUUACUUCUCAGAGUGCCCCUUAUUCCUGCUUCUGGAUCCUUCUAGAGUAGGUGAAUCGAAUGGGAGGUCUAUCAAUACCCCCAUUUUCCAAAACCACCUUGCCCUCAAGGUGGAAGUCAGGGAAGUGCUGGAUGAUGGACUUGGCUGACUCCUACGAAGCCUAAAACACUGCAUCCAAAUGUGGGGGAAUCUGCAGGUUGGGGCACUGCUGCUCCCUGUGCUUUCUUACGUUGGGAUACGUGUAAUACGGGAUGAAUUAUUGGAGGCAGCUCUAGAUGAUAAGCCACUGGCCGUAUAUGUUUGAUGAUUUUGAAAGGGCCGAAGUAUCGAGGUCCCAGUUUCCCAUUUGGUUUCUUUGCCAAUGAACAGAGACGGUAAGGCCGUAACUUUACAUAACGAGUUUGCCUUCGUUAAAUUGGACGUUUCUUCGAUGUCUGUCUGCAAUCACCUCCAUUUUCACUUGAGCUCUAAUGAGGUGAGCUUUCAAUUCUUCCAAAAUGGAGUCCCUGUCCAUCAACUACUGCUCCACAAUGGACAUGGAUGUCUGUUUAAUGCCAUACUGGAUUAAUGGAGGGGGAUCUCGUCCAUAAACCGCUCGAAAUAGAGUAGCGUUCGUUGAAGCGUGGAAGGUCGUAUUAUACCAAUAUUCAGCCCAAGGUGACCACUUGUAGCAGUCUCGCGGUUUGUCAUAAGUGAAACUCCAUAAGUAUUCCUCUACAAACCGAUUUACUACCUUCAUCUGCCAACCCAUUAGCGGUUGAUAGGCCGUGCUUCAGCCUAAGUAAGUCCCUUGCAAUCUGAAUAAUUCCUUCCAGAAAUGAUAGAGAAGCACUUUAUCCCCAUCCGACACAAUGGAACGUGGAAUUCCAAGUUUUACCAUUUCUUUCACAAAAACUGAGGCGACCCCUGAGGCAUUAUAAGGAUGGAUCCCCAAUCAAACUCCUAACAUUAUUGGACUUCAAUAAUCUCACAAAUUCCCCUUGAAUCUUAGCUGCCUCAUUCCCUCCUUGGACUUCCUCUAAUUCUGAUUCUUUCACUUUGUCCUCUUUUCCACCAGAUUUGUUAUUGACCACCAAACGUUGCAGCCCCUUACUUUUAUUGUUAUGCUUGAUUGGAUUCUUCUCCCUCCAUUUAUGGUAUAAUCGUUUCGUUUGCUGUAUUGCCCCGCAAAGCAACGUGAAGGAAUUCUGUAUUUUAGAUGGUAGAUUGUGGUAGAUUGACAACAUUGAAUUGCCUACCAAGUGGCUCAACUCCCUAGUUUGGGUCAGCCAAUUGGGUUUAACCAUCCCAAUAUCUCCAUUCACCAAUUUAGAAUCUAAAUACUCCUUCAACAUUGAUUCUAGAGCUUGAGAUUGGUUCAAGGAUCUUUCUCCUUCGACUGUCCAUGGUGAGGGGAAAAAUAUAUCCUGCAGCAAAUUCUUCGAUUGAAGCUCAGACACAGAACAAUCAAUCUCUGCUCUGUUGUUGGUGUUAAAAAUUCUUGCACCUUUGCCGCCACCAAGACAUCCAAUUCCAAUAUUAUCAAUUUUCCAGUCUAUUUCUCAUAUCUCAUAAUUCACUUUUGUUCUGCAUCGAUGCCCAAUGGUGUUGUGUACACAUUACACGCGAGAAUCAAAUUGUUUUCCCUUUGAUUGCAGCUGAUUUGCGCAACUAGAACUUUGAACUGGAGUAAUUUGGUGUAAAUAGUUGUUGUUGGGCCAUUUUCAUUUUCUUUAUUCAGGUCCAAAUCUCUUGGGUUUCUAUUUAGUAAAACUUUAGAGUUCACUUGUUGGGCCAUAUUUCUACCAGAGUCCAAACCCACUAAAAUUAAUAACAACUUCUUUUGAAUUGCCCAUUAAACAAGCCCUACCCACCUCCUUCAUCAUCAAGAUCUGCAAUAACAGAUAUGAAUAGCUGAUCAUCGUCUUCUUUCACUGCGUGUCCUUGCCUCAUUCUUAUCUGCUCCGUGGAAGUCUGCACAUAAGUUGUUGAAAUCUCAGAGUCCCGUUUGUAAUCUUUCUCGAAUUCCUCUGAUUUCCAUGCUGAAAACUUCUCAGAAAUAUCAGCCCCUGACAACAGAUUCUUGCAGAAUAUUAACGACCUGUCUUGAGUUACCUCCACAAAGUAUUGGUAUUUUGAACUUCCUUAUUUGUCUCCAGUUGUUUCCCUCUUGAUAUUUCCCAGUUUCCCCUGUUUUAUCAAUCUGUUUGCCUCGAUCUCACUCCUGUUGAUCUCCCAUGGGUCCCUUGUGAACAUUAGGUAGUAACUGAACCUCAGAAACACUUCCAGAUCUAUCUUGGUCCGUAACUCUAUUCAUGGCUACCUUUGGAAGAAUAAGAGCUGCCAAAGAUUUCUGGGUUUCCUCCAUUGAUUGCAUUAUCUUGAUCAUGCUCUGAGUGAGGUGCUCCACAGAUAUUUCCAGGCCCUGCAACCGUUGCAUUUCUGACCUUAAAUCCUUCAUUUCUCUUUCCAUGACUUCCACUCUGCCUUCUAUUUUCCUUUGUGCCAUCAGGAAUGAACUGCUCUGAUACCAAUUUGAUCGGAUUCUAUUUGGAAAAUAUAGAGUAGCAGAAAAAAAGAUUACGCUAAAAGAAGGAUAACAGACUGUGGGAGGCUGUGACUCUCAAACUAACUCCUCUCUCUCUUAAAAAUUGCCUGCCUCCCCUGUUCGCUAUACUUCUAUUUAUAAACUUCAUGUAACUAACUACCCAAUUCAAUUACUUCCCAGACCGCCCCUUAUUCCUGCUUCUGGAUACUUCUAGAGUAGGUGAAUCGAAUGGGAGGUCUAUCAGAGACAUCUUGGUCCUGAGAAAUCAUAAGAUCCAAUAGGUGCAUUCUAAUGAGAAAGGUAUCUGAAUCCUAAUUAGAUAGAACUAUUUUAAAUUCAAAAUGCUAAGUCUUUAAGGCCCAGAAGGGGGAUAUGGUGGCCUCAUAAUUGUGUGCAUAUUCCUAAGAUCCAGCAGGUGCAUAUGGCAUUGUUUUCUCAUGAUUACAGUCACUGAUCACUGCUCUCACCGCCCUAACCCUUUCCUCUGAAAUCAUGCCCCUACCUGAUUAUGUUCACUGUACUGCUGGAUGAUCCGGUGUCAUACCAAAUUCAGGUCUGGUCUUAUUUUUUCUCAGGCCACCUCUGCCUUUGAUUUAUACAGGUAAUUUUCUUGCACUUAUGCUCUUAAGUUGGUAUCCCCAUUUCUCCCUGUAAGUUGCCAAUUUUGCUUCAGGCUCCACCCAAAAUGAGUUUUGGAGAGGCACCCAAAUGCCACCCACAAGUACUAGUCUUGCUAAAAAGGUGAUAUCCCAAUUUAGGUUUGAAAUUGAAAAUAUUCAUAAUGAAAUUUCCCAGGCAAGAAAAAAUCAUUUUAAAUCUUACAUUCUUAGUGAUGCGGAAGAAGAAAACAAAUUCUUAGAUCCUGUUGAUGAGAUAUUUCAAAAACAGUAACCAAAAUUCUAAGUCUCAUCUAUAUUUUUUGCAAUCAGCUUUUGGAUGAUGACUCAGUUUGGAUGAUCAGGGGUGACGAGAGGGGAGAGGGUUGGGGGUGGUGAGAGAAGGUUUUGGGAUUGGAAUACCACUUAUCAUUUAGGAAAGGAAGGGCGAAAGUGAACAGAUGAUGGGGGUGGGGGGAGGAAGAUGGGUUCUUUUCCCUUCUUUUCUAAUUUAUCAUUUUCCUUUAUUUUUUUUUCAAUUAAAAUUGAGGUAAAAAUAUCUUCAAUGAUUAUCUUAGGUCAUGUGCAAGCCACGAGGUUUAAGGGAGUUUUUGAAUGGAUAAGCAAGGUUAUCAACAAGCUACAAAAUUUGAAACUUAAGAAUCUGUCUGAUAAAUUAGAAUAAACAUGCUGAAUGCACUUACAAUUUUCCCAAUG